UUCUGUUUUAGAAAUCAAAAUGAAAUUUGCCAUUGUUCUUCUGGUUCUAUUGCCCUUGGCAUUUACCGCCAAUCCACUUCUUGACAUCUUCAACCAACUCAAAAAAGAUAUCCAUCUUGAUGUAUUGAAGGAAAAUGUAAAUAAAAUCGCUGCUGCGAUCGGAACUGAUGCCACAGAGGCCCAGUGUGAGGUCGAAUGUCACAAAAUUGCCACUGCAGAGAUUAUUGGUUCUGGAUGUCCUCUCUUCUGUAAAUCAUUCCAAUUUAUGGCUACUCACUUUAAGAUUGGUUAAGUGGAAUAAAUUGUAAUUGAAAUUUG